rnacentral:rRNA from 1 species
CGCACUAUAAAACCUAAUUCAUAAAAACUCACUAUUAUAAUAUUACUACCAAAUCCAACUUCAAAAACCGAUUACACAAUCUAAUCCGAUUAAAAAUUAUAAACUGUAGUUCACUUUAUAAACCUUUUCUAUUAGCUGCAUUUUGACUUGACAUAGUAAUUUCUUAAUUAUUAAGUUUCUUACAUAAUUUUUACAAAAUAAACUGAUGACAGCAAUAUACAAACUGAUGAUUAACCGUUCAAAAAAAAGUAAGUAUAAAUUGAGGAUUAUCAAAUAAAUAAGCAAACUCCUCUGGAAGGAUAUAUAACACCGCCAAGCCUUUUAAGUUUAAAACAUUAAAAAGUAUAAUAAUUUUCUAUGCCACUUAAUAUAUGUUCACACUACUUAAGUAAAAAAAUUUUUAAAAUAAAGAA